GAAGAAGUGACGGUACUUGAUGAAUAAGCUCCGGCUAACUACGUGCCAGCAGCCGCGGUAAUACGUAGGGAGCAAGCGUUAUCCGGAUUUACUGGGUGUAAAGGGCGAGUAGGCGGAUUGGCAAGUUGGGAGUGAAAUGUCGGGGCUUAACCCCGGAACUGCUUCCAAAACUGUUGAUCUUGAGUGAUGGAGAGGCAGGCGGAAUUCCCAGUGUAGCGGUGAAAUGCGUAGAUAUUGGGAGGAACACCAGUGGCGAAGGCGGCCUGCUGGACAUUAACUGACGCUGAGGAGCGAAAGCGUGGGGAGCAAACAGGAUUAGAUACCCUGGUAGUCCACGCCGUAAACGAUGGACACUAGGUGUGGGAGGUAUUGACCCCUUCCGUGCCGCAGUUAACACAUUAAGUAUCCCACCUGGGGAGUACGACCGCAAGGUUGAAACUCAAAGGAAUUGACGG
rnacentral:rRNA from 1 species